rnacentral:rRNA from 1 species
UCUACGGGAGGCAGCAGCGAGGAAUCUUCCACCAAUGGCGCAAGCCCGAUGGAGCACGCCGCGUGGAGGACGACGGCCUUUCGGGUUGUAAACUCCUUUCGGGGGGGAUGACGAGGACAGUACCCCCAGAAGCAGCCCCGGGCUAACUCUGUGCCAGCAGCCGCGGUAAUACAGAGGGGGCAAGCGUUGUCCGGAUUUACUGGGCGUACAGCGCGCGCAGGCGGACCGCGACGUGCCGUGUGACAAGCCACCGCUCACCGGUGGAGGGCCAUGGUACACGAGCGGUCUGGAGGCAGGGAGAGGGAUGUGGAAUGCCCGGUGGAGCGGUGAAAUGCGUAGAGAUCGGGCGGAACACAAGCGGCGAAGGCGGCAUCCUGGUCCUGUUCUGACGCUGAGGCGCGAGAGCGUGGGGAGCGAACUGGAUUAGAUACCCAGGUAGUCCACGCCGUAAACGAUGUGUACCCGGCGCUGGGCAGUGAUUGCGCUGCUCGGUGCCUCAGCUUACGCAGUGAGUACACCGCCUGGGGACUACGGCCGCAAGGCUAAAACUCAAAGGAAUUGACGGGGGCCCGCACAAGCAGCGGAGCGUGUGGUUUAAUUCGACGCACCACGAAGAACCUUACCUAGGCUUGACAUGCACCUGCAAGCUGCGGAAACGCAGCUGCCUUCGAGGGUGGUGCACCGGUGCUGCAUGGCUGUCGUCAGCUCGUGUCGUGAGAUGUUGGGUUAAGUCCCGCAACGAGCGCAACCCUUGCCCCAUGUUACAAGUGUCAUGGGGGACUGCCGGUGGUUCACCGGAGGAAGGCGGGGAUGACGUCAAGUCCGCAUGGCCCCGACGCCUAGGGCGACACACACGCUACAAUGGCCGGCGCAGUGCGCAGCAACCUGGCAACAGGGAGCUAAUCGCGAAGGUCGGUCUCAGUGCAGAUUGGGGGCUGCAACUUGCCCCCAUGAAGGCGGAGUUGCUAGUAACCGCGUGUCAGCAGAGCGCGGUGAAUACGUUCCCGGG